rnacentral:rRNA from 1 species
UCAGUAACACGUAGUCACAUGCCAGGAGACGUGGAUCAACUCGGGAAACUGAGGAUAAAACGCGAUAGGUCACUGCUUCUGGAAUGGGCAAUGACCCAAACUACAUGGCCCCUGGAUUGGACUGCGGCCGAUCAGGCUGUUGGUGAGGUAAUGGCCCACCAAACCUGUAACCGGUACGGGCUCUGAGAGGAGGAGCCCGGAGAUGGGCACUGAGACAAGGGCCCAGGCCCUAUGGGGCGCAGAAGGCGCGAAACACUCUGCAAUAGGCGAAAGCUUGACAGGGUUACUCUUGAGUGAUUUCCAGUUAAGGAGAUCUUUUGGCACCAUCUAAAAAUGGUGCAGAAUAAGGGGUGGGCAA